AACGAACGCUGGCGGCAUGCCUAACACAUGCAAGUCGAACGAGACCUUCGGGUCUAGUGGCGCACGGGUGCGUAACGCGUGGGAACCUGCCCUUAGGUUCGGAAUAACUCCCCGAAAGGGGUGCUAAUACCGGAUAAUGUCUUCGGACCAAAGAUUUAUCGCCUUUGGAUGGGCCCGCGUUGGAUUAGCUAGUUGGUAGGGUAAAAGCCUACCAAGGCGACGAUCCAUAGCUGGUCUGAGAGGAUGAUCAGCCACACUGGGACUGAGACACGGCCCAGACUCCUGCGGGAGGCGGCAGGGGGGAAUAUUGCAAAGGGGCCGAAUGCCUGAACCACCAAUCCCGGGUGAGUGAUGAGGCCUUUGGGGUUAAAAAGCUUUUUUCCCGGGGAUGAUAAUCACGGUCCCGGAAAAAAAAGCUCCGCCUACCCCCGUC
rnacentral:rRNA from 1 species